CUGCAGUCGAACGAGAAAGUGGAGCAUCCAUGAGUAAAGUGGCGUAACGGGUGAGUAACACGUGGAUUAUCUGCCCUGAAGUGGGGAAUAACAAUGGGAAACCGUUGCUAAUACCGCAUAUUCCCGAGAGGGGAAAGCAGCAAUGCGCUUCAGGAGGAGUCCGCGGCCGAUUAGCUUGUUGGUAGGGUAAUGGCCUACCAAGGCUUCGAUCGGUAGCCGGCCUGAGAGGGCACACGGCACACUUGGCACUGAAACACGGGCCAGACUUCCUACGGGAGGCAGCAGUGGGGAAUCUUGCACAAUGGGGGCAACCCUGAUGCAGCGACGCCGCGUGAGCGAUGAAGCCCUUCGGGGUGUAAAGCUCUUUCGGCAGGGAAGAUAAUGACGGUACCUGCAGAAGCAGCUGCGGCUAACUACGUGCCAGCAGCCGCGGUAAUACGUAGGCAGCAAGCGUUGUUCGGAGUUACUGGGCGUAAAGGGUGUGUAGGCGGCUUUCUAAGUUUGGUGUGAAAUCUCCCGGCUCAACCGGGAGGGUGCGCCGAAGACCGGGAGGCUAGAGUAUGGGAUGGGAGAGCGGAAUUCCCGGUGUAGAGGUGAAAUUCGUAGAUAUCGGGAGGAACACCAGUGGCGAAGGCGGGAUCUGGGAAAGAUACUGACGCUGAGGUGCGAAAGCGGUGGGGAGCA
rnacentral:rRNA from 1 species